rnacentral:rRNA from 1 species
GAUGAACGCUGACAGAAUGCUUAACACAUGCAAGUCAACUUGAACUUCGGUUUGGGUGGCGGACGGGUGAGUCACGCGUAAAGAACUUGCCUCACAGCUAGGGACAACAUUUGGAAACGAAUGCUAAUACCUGAUAUUAUGAUUUUAGGGCAUCCUAGAAUUAUGAAAGCUAUAUGCGCUGUGAGAGAGCUUUGCGUCCCAUUAGCUAGUUGGAGAGGUAACGGCUCACCAAGGCGAUGAUGGGUAGCCGGCCUGAGAGGGUGAACGGCCACAAGGGGACUGAGACACGGCCCGUACUCCUACGGGAGGCAGCAGUGGGGAAUAUUGGACAAUGGACCAAGAGUCUGAUCCAGCAAUUCUGUGUGCACGAUGAAGUUUUUCGGAAUGUAAAGUGCUUUCAGUUGGGAAGAAAAAAAUGACGGUACCAACAGAAGAAGUGACGGCUAAAUACGUG